GCAAGUCGAACGGUAAGGCUUCUUCGGAAGUACACGAGUGGCGCACGGGUGCGUAACACGUAUGCAACCUACCUUUCAGCGGAGGAUAGUCAUUGGAAACGAUGAAUAAUACUCCAUAUGCUCACGUUGUCACAUGGCAGAGUGAGGAAAGCUCCGGCGCUGAGAGAUGGGCAUGCGUCCCAUUAGCUAGUUGGUAAAGUAACGGUUUACCAAGGCAACGAUGGGUAACUGGUCUGAGAGGAUGAUC
rnacentral:rRNA from 1 species